rnacentral:rRNA from 1 species
UACGUAGGGGGCUAGCGUUGUCCGGAAUCAUUGGGCGUAAAGAGCGCGUAGGCGGCCCGAUAAGUCCGCUGUGAAAGUCCAGGGCUCAACCCUGGAAUGCCAGUGGAUACUGUCGGGCUAGAGUGCGGAAGAGGCGAGUGGAAUUCCAGGUGUAGCGGUGGAAUGCGCAGAUAUCAGGAGGAACACCAAUAGCGAAGGCAGCUCGCUGGGACGUUACUGACGCUGAGGCGCGAAAGCGUGGGGAGCAAACAGG